GCCGCCCGUGCCUGGCCGGGCGCGCGGUGCUGGCGGCCUGGAUGGCGCCUGGCUCGGCGGGCCGCGUGGGCCCCCACGCCGCGGUGCCACCCUGAGCCUGGCGAAGCGUCCGCGGGUCUCUGACCGUGAACUCGUGGAGGGCGGCGACCUGGCCUCGGCCACGAUCUCCGCGGCGCCUCGGGAGGGCCGUAGGCGGCCUUCGGCCUGCGUCCCCGUGCCCGGAAAUGGGGAGGGUCGUUAAGUGGAUUUGUGUUCAUUGAUCGACUGUAUGCCGGGGAGUUUUUUAAUAGAAGCGGUUUGGGGUUAUUUUCGUGUGAGUAAAAAGGCUGCGGAGUAUAACUGCCUUUAUGCCUUCCCUGCCCCGGGGUAAAAUUAGCGUAGAGGCAAAGUGCCGUUUAAGGUGUAGAUGAUUUAAGCCGUUUCCAAGUGCAGUACUUGGCGGGCAUUGAGUCUCGGCGAUUCUGCAGGUAGAAGAUGGAUGCUUGAAGCACGGACUGCGGCUGAGAACCACGUGGGAACACCAAGGUGACUUAAGGAUGUCCUUGGUGAGGAUUUUGAAAAUUUGAUCUUCGCGAGAGGUGACUGGAUCGCUUAAAAUUUCCAGGAACCUGAGUACUGAAAUAAUUGCCUUUGAAUGGUCCAUAAACAUACAUGUAAGACAGUGGGGAUAUGAAUAAAUAUUUUAAUGUGCUUGCUUGA